rnacentral:rRNA from 1 species
AUCUUGCGCAAUGGGCGAAAGCCUGACGCAGCAACGCCGCGUGCGGGAUGAAGGCCUUCGGGUUGUAAACCGCUUUCAGUGGGGACGAAUUCAGACGGUACCCACAGAAGAAGCCCCGGCCAACUACGUGCCAGCAGCCGCGGUAACACGUAGGGGGCGAGCGUUGUCCGGAAUCAUUGGGCGUAAAGAGCUCGUAGGCGGGACUUGCAAGUCGGGAGUGAAAGGCCGGGGCUCAACCCCGGAGCUGCUUUCGAGACUGCGGACCUGGAGACCAGUAGGGGUUGGUGGAAUUCCCGGUGUAGCGGUGGAAUGCGUAGAUAUCGGGAAGAACACCCGUGGCGAAGGCGGCCAACUGGGCUGGAUCUGACGCUGAGGCGCGAAAGCGUGGGGAGCAA